rnacentral:rRNA from 1 species
GUCCUAGCCGUAAACGAUGAACACUAGGCGUAGUCGGUAUCGACCCCGGCUGUGCCGUAGCCAACGCAUUAAGUGUUCCGCCUGGGGAGUACGGCCGCAAGGCUAAAACUCAAAGGAAUUGACGGGGGCCCGCACAAGCAGCGGAGCGUGUGGUUUAAUUCGUCGCAACGCGAAGAACCUUACCAGGGCUUGACAUGCACCGGAAAACGGCGGAAACGUCGUCCUCCCGCAAGGGAUCGGUGUGCAGGUGUUGCAUGGCUGUCGU